UUAAUCAUGGGGAGGUCUUCACCGAACGAUAAACUUUUACUCGUAAGGCACAAAUGGUUUGUGAAUUACUAAUCUUCAUUUUGUUUUGCGUCAAUUUCUGAAGCAAUCUUCUUGACGUGUUGAAGAACCAUCACCACAUUUUUGAAUUUGUAGGCCGAUACUGAAGUUGCCAAGGAGAGUUCUGACAUUAUUAUCUUGGAUGGAUGAGAAUUUUGCUUCACUCGUGAGGGUUGUCAAAAGAUGGGUCGUUUGGGCUAUGCAAACGUUCAGAAAUUCAUACAGUUCCAGCGAACUGUUAACAACAUUGCAGCCUUGAUAAUUAAUGUAGUUUCUGCUGUCAGUUCUGGUGACGUGCCACUGGACAAGUGUUCUCUCUCACCAUAUAUUGUGUAAUAUACAGUAUAUUAACCGUUAAUGUAGUCCAGGUUUAAAUAUGUUCUUAUGAGAACCUUCAGAUCACUGGACAAGUGUUCUUUCUCACCAUAUAUUGUUGUGUAAAGUUCACCGUAUAUAGUUUGUCCAAGGGUAUUUUCUUCGUGCUCA